AUCCAGGUCCGGGGUGAGCAGUAUGUCCUGCGCCGCCGACUCGUUGAAGUACAAAUAUUCAUCCAAAGUGAGAGACAGAGAGCUGUGUGAUGAAAGACCCAGAGAACUACUUCUGUACGGGAAAAAAAUGAAGACCUAGCAACCCUGCAAAAUUAUCCAUCAAGAGACGUCUCUCAUCAAUUCACCUGACUUCAUUCACAGCGGGAAGGAAUGAUGCAGGGAGUUAUAGGGCAGGAAGUGGGAGAGAGAGGGAGGAGAAGAGUUCAAUAGGACCCCAAGGCUGGAGAUACAGAAGAGCUUUACAUGAGAAUCAUGCAGGGCCAUAGCUACAUAUGAGGAUACAGAGGUCCAGACCUCUGUAUUUUUGUAAUUUUUUUGGGGGGGGCGGGGGUCUCAGUCGGGGUCUCAAUUUACUAAAGUUGCGAUUUCGAAACUUGGUUGUGCAUCAGCAGUUUUCCUCGUUAUAUGUUACUGACAGUCAAUAAAUUAGCCAUGUCAGAUUGGUAAAUUAGUCUAGUUACUCUAGCCAGCUAUGUAAACGUGUAGUAAUCAUGGCCAACGUGCCCAGGGCCCCAUUGAUUUUGUUAUUCACGCUCACUCACAUAUCAUAUUAAACAUGGCAUAUAUCAUUAGGGAUUAACACGGGUAAUCGGGAUCCCAGGACUGUGCCGGGACCACUCUUCAGAUUUCCCGAAAAAAUGUAAUGACAAGACCCGGGAAAUUACAACAUUUUGUCAAAAAAUAAAAUAGCACAUCAUCCAAACAGGUUGUCGCAUGGAAGCCAUUAGCCUAGUGUAUUUACUUCACACAAAGUCUACAAUGUUAUGGACUACUCGGGGUGCGCUCUGUGCGUGCUAUAGCCUACCACUACUGCUGAAAUUAGCUGAAUUCAUUGAGGAACAUGAUAACACUCUGAAUUUAUGAACGGUCUGUUUUGCAAUUCACAACAAUGUCAUUGCCGAUCAUAGUUAGGCCUACUCUAUCAUUACUAAAUAUCUGUUUCACUUGCUGUGAGACCUUUAGAUAGUGACGCAGCCAAGUUGGCAAUGUGGCAAAGCGACAAUCUUAUUUUGGGAGAACCUGAUAUCUUGUUUUUAAACUCUUUAAAUGGGCUCUUCCAAUUUUUCGGCAUUUCCAGGGACUCUCAGAUAAAUAUGAAUUAUUCCCGGAAUUGAAACCUGGUAGAGUUUUGGGAAAAUAUGAAUCCCUAUAAGUCAUGGCAAAAUGUGUAGAAUUUAGGAAAUUAGAUUUAAAACUGCAACAUUUUUUGCCCUACCCCAUUGCAAAAUGAGUAGAGUUGCAGUAAAUUAGCUAUAAAAAAAGAAAUAUAAAGAAAAGUUCUUAAGGCUUUUAACUUUUUAUGAAUAAAAUAUUUUUUUCUACUAACAGAUCCCUCUGUUCGUAUUAAAUUAUAGUUUUUAAUCUCGGUGCAGAGCUAAUGUGAGUUAAUGUGUAGAGGCUAAUUGUACAGCUAGUAGAGCCCCACAGUGGACGUGUCAUAAAACCUAGCGGUCAAACAGGGAAAUGGUUCCAAUCAUUUUUUCACCAUUCAUUUUUCCCAUAGGUGAUUUUAGAAACACUUAAAAUAAGGGCUGUGUUUCGUGUAGUCUUACCCUGGCAUGAUGUUUUAAUAACCAUGUAAAUCUCUCUCGGACAAGGUGACUUUUAUCAUUAUAUUCGAAGCUAGGUGGAAGCUAGGUGGAAUUAAUGCCAGGUCUGAUCCAUCUUCCAAAGCACUGAAUUUUCCUUUCUGGGAGUUAUUCCUUUGAGAAAUACAAUAUAUGCUAUCCUGAUCACAGCCCUAUCUAUAGGCAUGACUGUUUGCAGCAUGGGGUAUGGGUGAAAAACAAACAAAAUUAGACAAGUGCAGUAGCAAACAAUGAGGUGAAUCCACAGAGCCAUGAAGAAAAAAACACAUUUUCAUUACUCAGGCCUGGCUUGUUAUCAUGUAGAAAGGGAAGAGUGGCGAUCUCCUAGCGUGGGAGACACCUGAGUACACUCUCCCAGGACAAGGGCUGAUACUGUUUAAUAUUUUGUUAUAGUGUAUUAUUCUGCAUGUUCCACUGUUGACAUAAAGACCCAGGUUGAAUCUCAAAUGGCACCUCAUAGUGCACUACUUUUGACCAGGGCGCAUACGGCUCUGGUCAAAAGUAGUGCACUUGAUAGGGAAUAGGGUGCCAUUUCAAACUCAGGCAUUACCAGUCUGGGACACAGUCUCGCAAUGAAGGGCGCACUUCUGAGUGAUUACAGGAGUCGAACCACUGCGAAUGGGCAAUUUCAACAGAUCCUAUUGGGCGCGAAGCAGGAAAUUUAACUAAUGAAACCUCUAAACUGAUGAAACAUUAAACUACUAAAACAUCCCCGGCUCUGAAUGCUUUACAAUGCACUGAGAUGAAUGGGAGCAGCUCACCCAAAUAAUUAACUAUACUGAGUCAGCGGCUGGCUGACAAGUCUGUCAGACUAAUCUAGUGACUGAGGACAAAUGCUGGGAGGGCUGCCUGGGAGGCUGUGGGAGACUCAUUUGCUGCAUUUCUAUACAACAACAAAAAAUAAGUAAAAUGCUAUUUGUACAAUUGUAAGGUUAUACCCCUGAAAGGGGGUAAAUAUGAGAAAGUAUCCACACCGACACAUAGUAUCAGCAACUGUGCAGUCAGUUGUAAUGAUGAAUUGCAUAAAAUGAUCAACUCUUCUCAUAGAUACAGUAUCUCUUUUCUCAAAUUACAUAAUGUUCACAUUUAUAUUCCUAGGCAUUACUAAUCAAGCUCUGCACAAACAGACAUCAAUGGAGCACACCGAUGAUUAUUAUCAAAUUCACAUGAAUUAUUAAAACAUUGCUCAUGAUUCUGUAUUAAUAUCAGUGAUGUGGUAAAAAAAAAAAAGGUGGGUAAUAGAUAAGACAACAACUGAUAUAAAUGAAAAAUGACAUUUUUAGAAUUUUAUUGUUUGCAUUUUGAGUGCAUGUUAAUAUAGGCCUAGUUGAAAUGUUCAUAUUGAAGCGUAUCUUUUUAAUUAAAAAAAAA